rnacentral:rRNA from 1 species
UACGGAGGGUGCGAGCGUUGUCCGGAAUCACUGGGCGUAAAGGGCGCGUAGGCGGCUGGGGAAGUCGGCGGUGAAAGCCCGGAGCUCAACUCCGGGUCGGCCGUCGAGACUCCUCGGCUCGAGCUCACUAGAGGCAGAUGGAAUUCCGGGUGUAGCGGUGGAAUGCGUAGAGAUCCGGAAGAACACCGGUGGCGAAGGCGGCCUGCUGGGCCGGUAGCCGCAAGGCUUUUAGCUGACGCUGAGGCGCGACAGCGUGGGAGCAAACAGG